rnacentral:tRNA from 1 species
GUGUCCAUAGCUCAGUUGGUUAGAGCGCCGGGUUGUGGCUCCGGAGGUCGUGGGUUCGAACCCCAUUGGACACCCCA